CUCUGUUCUGAAGAAGUUUUCAGCUGUGGACAGGGGAGGUGAGAGGGGGAUGAGAGGGGCAAGGUUUUUUACUGAGAGUGGUGGAUGUGAGGAAGGUGCUCUGUUCUGAAGAAGUUUUCAGCUGUGGACAGGGGAGGUGAGAAGGGGAUGUGAGGGGCAAGGUUUUUUACAGAGAGAGUGGUGGAUGUGAGGAAGGUGCUCUGUUCUGAAGAAGUUUUCAGCUGUGGACAGGGGAGGUGAGAGGGGGAUGUGAGGGGCAAGGUUUUUUACAGAGAGUGGUGGAUGUGAGGAAGGUGCUCUGUUCUGAAGAAGUUUUCAGCUGUGGACAGGGGAGGUGAGAGGGGGAUGUGAGGGGCAAGGUUUUUUACUGAGAGAGUGGUGGAUGUGAGGAAGGUGCUCUGUUCUGAAGAUGUUUUCAGCUGUGGACAGGGGAGGUGAGAGGGGGAUGAGAGGGGCAAGGUUUUUUACUGAGAGAGUGGUGGAUGUGAGGAAGGUGCUCUGUUCUGAAGAAGUUUUCAGCUGUGGACAAGGGAGGUGAGAGGGGGAUCUGAGGGGCAAGGUUUUUUAGUGAGAGAGUGGUGGAUGUGAGGAAGGUGCUCUGUUCUGAAGAUGCUUUCAGCUGUGGACAGGGGAGGUGAGAGGGGGAUGUGAGGGGCAAGGUUUUUUACAGAGAGUGGUGGAUGUGAGGAAGGUGCUCUGUUCUGAAGAUGCUUUCAGCUGUGGACAGGGGAGGUGAGAGGGGGAUGUGAGGGACAAGGUUUUUUACUGAGAGAGUGGAGGAUGUGAGGAAGGUGCUCUGUUCUGAAGAAGUUUUCAGCUGUGGACAGGGGAGGUGAGAGGGGGAUGUGAGGGGCAAGGUUUUUUACAGAGAGUGGUGGAUGUGAGGAAGGUGCUCUGUUCUGAAGAAGUUUUCAGCUGUGGACAGGGGAGGUGAGAGGGGGAGGUGAGGGGCAAGGUUUUUUACAGAGAGAGUGGUGGAUGUGAGGAAGGUGCUCUGUUCUGAAGAUGUUUUCAGCUGUGGACAGGGGAGGUGAGAGGGGGAUGUGAGGGGCAAGUUUUUUUACAGAGAGUGGUGGAUGUAAGGAAGGUGCUCUGUUCUGAAGAUGCUUUCAGCUGUGGACAGGGGAGGUGAGAGGGGGAUGUGAGGGCAAGGUUUUUUACUGAGAGAGUGGUGGAUGUGAGGAAGGUGCUCUGUUCUGAAGAUGUUUUCAGCUGUGAACAGGGGAGGUGAGAGGGGGAUGUGAGGGGCAAGGUUUUUUACUGAGAGAGUGGUGGAUGUGAGGAAGGUGCUCUGUUCUGAAGAUGCUUUCAGCUGUGAACAGGGGAGGUGAGAGGGGGAUGUGAGGGGCAAGGUUUUUUACUGAGAGAGUGGUGGAUGUGAGGAAGGUGCUCUGUUCUGAAGAAGUUUUCAGCUGUGGACAGGGGAGGUGAGAGGGGGAUGUGAGGGGCAAGGUUUUUUACAGAGAGUGGUGGAUGUGAGGAAGGUGCUCUGUUCUGAAGAAGUUUUCAGCUGUGGACAGGGGAGGUGAGAGGGGGAUGUGAGGGGCAAGGUUUUUUACUGAGAGAGUGGUGGAUGUGAGGAAGGUGCUCUGUUCUGAAGAUGUUUUCAGCUGUGGACAGGGGAGGUGAGAGGGGGAUGUGAGGGGCAAGGUUUUUUACAGAGAGUGGUGGAUGUGAGGAAGGUGCUCUGUUCUGAAGAAGUUUUCAGCUGUGGACAGGGGAGGUGAGAGGGGGAUGUGAGGGGCAAGGUUUUUUACAGAGAGUGGUGGAUGUGAGGAAGAUGCUCCGUUCUGAAGAUGUUUUCAGCUGUGGACAGGCGAGGUGAGAGGGGGAUGUGAGGGGCAAGGUUUUUUACUGAGAGAGUGGUGGAUGUGAGGAAGGUGCUCUGUUCUGAAGAUGUUUUCAGCUGUGGACAGGGGAGGUGAGAGGGGGAUGUGAGGGGCAAGGUUUUUUACAGAGAGUGGUGGAUGUGAGGAAGGUGCUCUGUUCUGAAGAAGUUUUCAGCUGUGGACAGGGGAGGUGAGAGGGGGAUGUGAGGGGCAAGGUUUUUUACUGAGAGAGUGGUGGAUGUGAGGAAGGUGCUCUGUUCUGAAGAUGUUUUCAGCUGUGGACAGGGGAGGUGAGAGGGGGAUGUGAGGGGCAAGGUUUUUUACAGAGAGUGGUGGAUGUGAGGAAGGUGCUCUGUUCUGAGGAAGUUUUCAGCUGUGGACAGGGGAGGUGAGAGGGGGAUGUGAGGGGCAAGGUUUUUUACAGAGAGUGGUGGAUGUGAGUAAGGUGCUCUAAGUUCUGAAGAAGUUUUCAGCUGUGGACAGGGGAGGUGAGAGGGGGAUGUGAGGGGCAAGGUUUUUUACUGAGAGAGUGGUGGAUGUGAGGAAGGUGCUCUGUUCUGAAGAUGCUUUCAGCUGUGGACAGGGGAGGUGAGAGGGGGAUGUGAGGGGCAAGGUUUUUUACAGAGAGUGGUGGAUGUGAGGAAGGUGCUCUGUUCUGAAGAAGUUUUCAGCUGUGGACAGGGGAGGUGAGAGGGGGAUGUGAGGGGCAAGGUUUUUUACAGAGAGUGGUGGAUGUGAGGAAGGUGCUCUGUUCUGAAGAUGCUUUCAGCUGUGGACAGGGGAGGUGAGAGGGGGAUGUGAGGGGCAAGGUUUUUUACAGAGAGUGGUGGAUGUGAGGAAGGUGCUCUGUUCUGAAGAAGUUUUCAGCUGUGGACAGGGGAGGUGAGAGGGGGAUGUGAGGGACAAGGUUUUUUACUGAGAGAGUGGUGGAUGUGAGGAAGGUGCUCUGUUCUGAAGAUGCUUUCAGCUGUGGACAGGGGAGGUGAGAGGGGGAUGUGAGGGACAAGGUUUUUUACUGAGAGAGUGGUGGAUGUGAGGAAGGUGCUCUGUUCUGAAGAAGUUUUCAGCUGUGGACAGGGGAGGUGAGAGGGGGAUGAGAGGGGCAAGGUUUUUUACUGAGAGAGUGGUGGAUGUGAGGAAGGUGCUCUGUUCUGAAGAUGUUUUCAGCUGUGGACAGGGGAGGUGAGAGGGGGAUGUGAGGGGCAAGGUUUUUUACUGAGAGAGUGGUGGAUGUGAGGAAGAUGCUCUGUUCUGAAGAAGUUUUCAGCUGUGGACAGGGGAGGUGAGAGGGGGAUGUGAGGGGCAAGGUUUUUUACUGAGAGAGUGGUGGAUGUGAGGAAGGUGCUCUGUUCUGAAGAGGUUUUCAGCUGUGGACAGGGGAGGUGAGAGGGGGAUGUGAGGGCAAGGUUUUUUACAGAGAGUGGUGGAUGUGAGGAAGGUGCUCUGUUCUGAAGAGGUUUUCAGCUGUGGACAGGGGAGGUGAGAGGGGGAUGUGAGGGGCAAGGUUUUUUACAGAGAGUGGUGGAUGUGAGGAAGGUGCUCUGUUCUGAAGAUGUUUUCAGCUGUGGACAGGGUAGGUGAGAGGGGGAUGUGAGGGGUAAGGUUUUUUACAGAGAGUGGUGGAUGUGAGGAAGGUGCUCUGUUCUGAAGAUGCUUUCAGCUGUGGACAGGGGAGGUGAGAGGGGGAUGUGAGGGGCAAGGUUUUUUACAGAGAGUGGUGGAUGUGAGGAAGGUGCUCUGUUCUGAAGAAGUUUUCAGCUGUGGACAGGGGAGGUGAGAGGGGGAUGUGAGGGGUAAGGUUUUUUACAGAGAGUGGUGGAUGUGAGGAAGGUGCUCUGUUCUGAAGAUGUUUUCAGCUGUGGACAGGGGAGGUGAGAGGGGGAUGUGAGGGGCAAGGUUUUUUACAGAGAGUGGUGGAUGUGAGGAAGGUGCUCUGAGUUCUGAAGAUGCUUUCAGCUGUGGACAGGGGAGGUGAGAGGGGGAUGUGAGGGGCAAGGUUUUUUACAGAGAGUGGUGGAUGUGAGGAAGGUGCUCUGUUCUGAAGAAGUUUUCAGCUGUGGACAGGGGAGGUGAGAGGGGGAUGUGAGGGGCAAGGUUUUUUACUGAGAGAGUGGUGGAUGUGAGGAAGGUGCUCUGUUCUGAAGAUGCUUUCAGCUGUGGACAGGGGAGGUGAGAGGGGGAUGUGAGGGGCAAGGUUUUUUACAGAGAGUGGUGGAUGUGAGGAAGGUGCUCUGUUCUGAAGAUGUUUUCAGCUGUGGACAGGGGAGGUGAGAGGGGGAUGUGAGGGGCAAGGUUUUUUACAGAGAGUGGUGGAUGUGAGGAAGGUGCUCUGUUCUGAAGAUGCUUUCAGCUGUGGACAGGGGAGGUGAGAGGGGGAUGUGAGGGGUAAGGUUUUUUACAGAGAGUGGUGGAUGUGAGGAAGGUGCUCUGUUCUGAAGAAGUUUUCAGCUGUGGACAGGGGAGGUGAGAGGGGGAUGUGAGGGGCAAGGUUUUUUACUGAGAGAGUGGUGGAUGUGAGGAAGGUGCUCUGUUCUGAAGUUUUCAGCUGUGGACAGGGGAGGUGAGAGGGGGAUGUGAGGGGCAAGGUUUUUUACUGAGAGAGUGGUGGAUGUGAGGAAGGUGCUCUGUUCUGAAGUUUUCAGCUGUGGACAGGGGAGGUGAGAGGGGGAUGUGAGGGACAAGGUUUUUUACAGAGAGUGGUGGAUGUGAGGAAGGUGCUCUGCUAUGAAGAAGUUUUCAGCUGUGGACAGGGGAGGUGAGAGGGGGAUGUGAGGGGCAAGGUUUUUUACAGAGAGUGGUGGAUGUGAGGAAGGUGCUCUGUUCUGAAGAAGUUUUCAGCUGUGGACAGGGGAGGUGAGAGGGGGAUGUGAAGGGCAAGGUUUUUUACAGAGAGUGGUGGAUGUGAGGAAGGUGCUCUGUUCUGAAGAUGUUUUCAGCUGUGGACAGGGGAGGUGAGAGGGGGAUGUGAGGGGCAAGGUUUUUUACUGAGAGUGGUGGAUGUGAGGAAGGUGCUCUGUUCUGAAGAUGCUUUCAGCUGUGGACAGGGGAGGUGAGAGGGGGAUGUGAGGGGCAAGGUUUUUUACUGAGAGAGUGGUGGAUGUGAGGAAGGUGCUCUGUUCUGAAGAAGUUUUCAGCUGUGGACAGGGGAGGUGACAGGGGGAUGUGAGGGGUAAGGUUUUUUACAGAGAGUGGUGGAUGUGAGGAAGGUGCUCUGUUCUGAAGAAGUUUUCAGCUGUGGACAGGGGAGGUGAGAGGGGGAUGUGAGGGGCAAGGUUUUUUACUGAGAGAGUGGUGGAUGUGAGGAAGGUGCUCUGUUCUGAAGAAGUUUUCAGCUGUGGACGGGGGAGGUGAGAGGGGGAUGUGAGGGGCAAGGUUUUUUACUGAGAGAGUGGUGGAUGUGAGGAAGGUGCUCUGUUCUGAAGAAGUUUUCAGCUGUGGACAGGGGAGGUGAGAGGGGGAUGUGAGGGGCAAGGUUUUUUACAGAGAGUGGUGGAUGUGAGGAAGGUGCUCUGUUCUGAAGAUGCUUUCAGCUGUGGACAGGGGAGGUGAGAGGGGGAUGUGAGGGGCAAGGUUUUUUACUGAGAGAGUGGUGGAUGUGAGGAAGGUGCUCUGCUAUGAAGAAGUUUUCAGCUGUGGACAGGGGAGGUGAGAGGGGGAUGUGAGGGGCAAGGUUUUUUACAGAGAGUGGUGGAUGUGAGGAAGGUGCUCUGUUCUGAAGAAGUUUUCAGCUGUGGACAGGGGAGGUGAGAGGGGGAUGUGAGGGGCAAGGUUUUUUACUGAGAGAGUGGUGGAUGUGAGGAAGGUGCUCUGUUCUGAAGAAGUUUUCAGCUGUGGACAGGGGAGGUGAGAGGGGGAUGUGAGGGGCAAGGUUUUUUACUGAGAGAGUGGUGGAUGUGAGGAAGGUGCUCUGUUCUGAAGAUGCUUUCAGCUGUGGACAGGGGAGGUGAGAGGGGGAUGUGAGGGGCAAGGUUUUUUACAGAGAGUGGUGGAUGUGAGGAAGGUGCUCUGUUCUGAAGAAGUUUUCAGCUGUGGACAGGGGAGGUGAGAGGGGGAUGUGAGGGGCAAGGUUUUUUACAGAGAGUGGUGGAUGUGAGGAAGGUGCUCUGUUCUGAAGAUGCUUUCAGCUGUGGACAGGGGAGGUGAGAGGGGGAUGUGAGGGGUAAGGUUUUUUACAGAGAGAGUGGUGGAUGUGAGGAAGGUGCUCUGUUCUGAAGAAGUUUUCAGCUGUGGACAGGGGAGGUGAGAGGGGGAUGUGAGGGGCAAGGUUUUUUACAGAGAGUGGUGGAUGUGAGGAAGGUGCUCUGUUCUGAAGAUGCUUUCAGCUGUGGACAGGGGAGGUGAGAGGGGGAUGUGAGGGCAAGGUUUUUUACAGAGAGUGGUGGAUGUGAGGAAGGUGCUCUGUUCUGACGAUGCUUUCAGCUGUGGACAGGGGAGGUGAGAGGGGGAUGUGAGGGGCAAGGUUUUUUACUGAGAGAGUGGUGGAUGUGAGGAAGGGGCUCUGUGCUGAAGAAGUUUUCAGCUGUGGACAGGGGAGGUGAGAGGGGGAUGUGAGGGGCAAUGUUUUUGACUGAGAGAGUGGUGGAUGUGAGGAAGGUGCUCUGUUCUGAAGAUGCUUUCAGCUGUGGACAGGGGAGGUGAGAGGGUGAUGUGAGGGGCAAGGUUUUUUACUGAGAGAGUGGUGGAUGUGAGGAAGGUGCUCUGUUCUGAAGAUGCUUUCAGCUGUGGACAGGGGAGGUGAGAGGGGGAUGUGAGGGGCAAUGUUUUUUACUGAGAGAGUGGUGGAUGUGAGGAAGGUGCUCUGUUCUGAAGAUGCUUUCAGCUGUGGACAGGGGAGGUGAGGGGGAUGUGAGGGGCAAGAUUUUUUACUGAGAGAGUGGUGGAUGUGAGGAAGGUGCUCUGUUCUGAAGAAGUUUUCAGCUGUGGACAGGGGAGGUGAGAGGGGGAUGUGAGGGGCAAGGUUUUUUACUGAGAGAGUGGUGGAUGUGAGGAAGGUGCUCUGUUCUGAAGAAGUUUUCAGCUGUGGACAGGGGAGGUGAGAGGGGGAUGUGAGGGGCAAGGUUUUUUACAGAGAGUGGUGGAUGUGAGGAAUGUGCUCUGUUCUGAAGAAGUUUUCAGCUGUGGACAGGGGAGGUGAGAGGGGGAUCUGAGGGGCAAGGUUUUUUACAGAGAGUGGUGGAUGUGAGGAAGGUGCUCUGAGUUCUGAAGAAGUUUUCAGCUGUGGACAGGGGAGGUGAGAGGGGGAUGUGAGGGGCAAGGUUUUUUACUGAGAGAGUGGUGGAUGUGAGGAAGGUACUCUGUUCUGAAGAUGCUUUCAGCUGUGGACAGGGGAGGUGAGAGGGGGUUGUGAGGGGCAAGGUUUUUUACUGAGAGUGGUGGAUGUGAGGAAGGUGCUCUGUUCUGAAGAAGUUUUCAGCUGUGGACAGGGGAGGUGAGAGGGGGAUGUGAGGGGCAAGGUUUUUUACAGAGAGAGUGGUGGAUGUGAGGAAGGUGCUCUGUUCUGAGGAAGUUUUCAGCUGUGGACAGGGGAGGUGAGAGGGGGAUGUGAGGGGCAAGGUUUUUUACUGAGAGUGGUGGAUGUGAGGAAGGUGCUCUGUUCUGAAGAAGUUUUCAGCUGUGGACAGGGGAGGUGAGAGGGGGAUGUGAGGGGCAAGGUUUUUUACAGAGAGAGUGGUGGAUGUGAGGAGGGUGCUCUGUUCUGAAGAUGUUUUCAGCUGUGGACAGGGGAGGUGAGAGGGGGAUGUGAGGGACAAGGUUUUUUACUGAGAGAGUGGUGGAUGUGAGGAAGGUGCUCUGUUCUGAAGAAGUUUUCAGCUGUGGACAGGGGAGGUGAGAGAGGGAUGUGAGGGGCAAGGUUUUUUACAGAGAGAGUGGUGGAUGUGAGGAAGGUGCUCUGUUCUGAAGAAGUUUUCAGCUGUGGACAGGGGAGGUGAGAGGGGGAUGUGAGGGGCAAGGUUUUUUACUGAGAGAGUGGUGGAUGUGAGGAAGGUGCUCUGUUCUGAAGAUGCUUUCAGCUGUGGACAGGGGAGGUGAGAGGGGGAUGUGAGGGGCAAGGUUUUUUACUGAGAGAGUGGUGGAUGUGAGGAAGGUGCUCUGUUCUGAAGAUGCUUUCAGCUGUGGACAGGGGAGGUGAGAGGGGGAUGUGAGGGGCAAGGUUUUUUACAGAGAGUGGUGGAUGUGAGGAAGGUGCUCUGUUCUGAGGAAGUUUUCAGCUGUGGACAGGGGAGGUGAGAGGGGGAUGUGAGGGGCAAGGUUUUUUACUGAGAGAGUGGUGGAUGUGAGGAAGGUGCUCUGUUCUGAGGAAGUUUUCAGCUGUGGACAGGGGAGGUGAGAGGGGGAUGUGAGGGGCAAGGUUUUUUACUGAGAGAGUGGUGGAUGUGAGGAAGGUGCUCUGUUCUGAAGAAGUUUUCAGCUGUGGACAGGGGAGGUGAGAGGGGGAUGUGAGGGGCAAGGUUUUUUACUGAGAGAGUGGUGGAUGUGAGGAAGGUGCUCUGUUCUGAAGAUGCUUUCAGCUGUGGACAGGGGAGGUGAGAGGGGGAUGUGAGGGGCAAGGUUUUUUACAGAGAGUGGUGGAUGUGAGGAAGGUGCUCUGUUCUGAAGAAGUUUUCAGCUGUGGACAGGGGAGGUGAGAGGGGGAUGUGAGGGGCAAGGUUUUUUACAGAGAGAGUGGUGGAUGUGAGGAAGGUGCUCUGUUCUGAAGAUGCUUUCAGCUGUGGACAGGGGAGGUGAGAGGGGGAUGUGAGGGGCAAGGUUUUUUACUGAGAGUGGUGGAUGUGAGGAAGGUGCUCUGUUCUGAAGAAGUUUUCAGCUGUGGACAGGGGAGGUGAGAGGGGGAUGUGAGGGGCAAGGUUUUUUACAGAGAGAGUGGUGGAUGUGAGGAAGGUGCUCUGUUCUGAAGAAGUUUUCAGCCGUGGACAGGGGAGGUGAGAGGGGGAUGUGAGGGGCAAGGUUUUUUACUGAGAGAGUGGUGGAUGUGAGGAAGGUGCUCUGUUCUGAAGAAGUUUUCAGCUGUGGACAGGGGAGGUGAGAGGGGGAUGUGAGGGGCAAGGUUUUUUACAGAGAGAGUGGUGGAUGUGAGGAAG